AGCGAACGCUGGCGGCAGGCCUAACACAUGCAAGUCGAGCGGGCAUACUUGUGGUGCCCGCGGCAGCAGGGUGAGUCACGCGAGGGAACGUGCCCUUCGGUUCUGAAUGACUCAGGGAACCUUGAGCUAAUACCGGUUACGCCCUUUUGGGGAAAGGUUUACUACCGAAGGAUCUGCCCGCGUCUGGUUAGCUGGUUAGUGAGGUUAAGGUUCACUAAGGCGACGAUCAGUAGCUGGUCUGGGAGGAUGAUCAGCCACACUGGGAGUGAGACACCGCUCAGACUCCUACGGGAUGCGGCAGUGGGGAAUAUUGAACAACGGCGUCUACCCUGAUCCAGCCAUGCCGCGUGAGUGAUGACGGUUGGAGGGUUGUAAAGCUCUUUUCUCCGGGACGGUAAUGACGGUACCGGAGGAAUAAGCCCCGGCUAACUUCGUG
rnacentral:rRNA from 1 species